AGAGUUUGAUCAUGGCUCAGAUUGAACGCUGGCGGCAGGCCUAACACAUGCAAGUCGAGCGGUAGAGAGAAGCUUGCUUCUCUUGAGAGCGGCGGACGGGUGAGUAAUGCCUAGGAAUCUGCCUGGUAGUGGGGGAUAACGCUCGGAAACGGACGCUAAUACCGCAUACGUCCUACGGGAGAAAGCAGGGGACCUUCGGGCCUUGCGCUAUCAGAUGAGCCUAGGUCGGAUUAGCUAGUUGGUGAGGUAAUGGCUCACCAAGGCGACGAUCCGUAACUGGUCUGAGAGGAUGAUCAGUCACACUGGAACUGAGACACGGUCCAGACUCCUACGGGAGGCAGCAGUGGGGAAUAUUGGACAAUGGGCGAAAGCCUGAUCCAGCCAUGCCGCGUGUGUGAAGAAGGUCUUCGGAUUGUAAAGCACUUUAAGUUGGGAGGAAGGGCAGUUACCUAAUACGUAUCUGUUUUGACGUUACCGACAGAAUAAGCACCGGCUAACUCUGUGCCAGCAGCCGCGGUAAUACAGAGGGUGCAAGCGUUAAUCGGAAUUACUGGGCGUAAAGCGCGCGUAGGUGGUUUGUUAAGUUGGAUGUGAAAUCCCCGGGCUCAACCUGGGAACUGCAUUCAAAACUGACAAGCUAGAGUAUGGUAGAGGGUGGUGGAAUUUCCUGUAGCGGUGAAAUGCGUAGAUAUAGGAAGGAACACCAGUGGCGAAGGCGACCACCUGGACUGAUACUGACACUGAGGUGCGAAAGCGUGGGGACAAACAGGAUUAGAUACCCUAGUAGUCC
rnacentral:rRNA from 1 species